CACUCCUACGGGAGGCAGCAGUGGGGAAUAUUGCACAAUGGGCGCAAGCCUGAUGCAGCCAUGCCGCGUGUAUGAAGAAGGCCUUCGGGUUGUAAAGUACUUUCAGCGGGGAGGAAGGCAAUACGGUUAAUAACCGUGUUGAUUGACGUUACCCGCAGAAGAAGCACCGGCUAACUCCGUGCCAGCAGCCGCGGUAAUACGGAGGGUGCAAGCGUUAAUCGGAAUUACUGGGCGUAAAGCGCACGCAGGCGGUCUGUCAAGUCGGAUGUGAAAUCCCCGGGCUCAACCUGGGAACUGCAUUCGAAACUGGCAGGCUUGAGUCUUGUAGAGGGGGGUAGAAUUCCAGGUGUAGCGGUGAAAUGCGUAGAGAUCUGGAGGAAUACCGGUGGCGAAGGCGGCCCCCUGGACAAAGACUGACGCUCAGGUGCGAAAGCGUGGGGAGCAAACAGGAUUAGAAACCCGAGUAGUCCCAUGAU
rnacentral:rRNA from 1 species